ACAUAUUAUCAUUUGUUGUAUGAGAGUGUGUGUGUGCGUGCCUCGUUUCCUCCCGGAUUUCUAUAGUACAAAAGUAACUUAGUUAAAGAUUGUUAGUUGGAAAAUGAUGUUCUUGAUGUUAUGUCAAUUAUUAGUUAUUUGUUCAUCAUUCAGUAUAUUGCAGCAUGUGGAUGCGCUGAAAUGUUUCGAAUGUACAUUGUCAGAUGCAGGAUGUGGGGAUCCUAUUCGAAGCCAACAAAUCAAAGCAAUAGACUGCCAAAAUUCGGUGUUCACUAUCAGCGGAAAAACAAUGAGGCAUGCAAAUGAAGAUAUAUAUCGCUGCCUCACAACUAUUGAAAAAAAUUCAUCUAACACUUUAUAUACAAGAAGAUGUGCCCUGAAAGAAGAGAAUAUUAUUUGUGACCCACGAUCCCAAUCUGGUCAACAAAGCAUGAUACUGAAAGAAUGUAUUUUAUGUAAAGAAGACUUUUGUAAUUCGUCUACCAGACAGUCAUAUUAUUUUGGUCAUUAUUUAUUACUAGCUAUAAUUGUAACACUACAAAAAUAAAAAAGACUGAUUCAUUUAUGUAUAAUUAUUACUGUAUAGUUACUACGUAAUAUAAACCACUAAAGAUU